UACGGAGGGUGCUAGCGUUGUUCGGAAUUACUGGGCGUAAAGGGCGCGUAGGCGGCCGUUUGCGUCGGAUGUGAAAGCCCGGGGCUCAACCUCGGAACGGCAUUCGAUACGGGACGGCUGGAGACCGGGAGAGGAGAGUGGAAUAGCCAGUGUAGAGGUGAAAUUCGUAGAUAUUGGCUGGAACACCGGUGGCGAAAGCGGCUCUCUGGCCCGGUUCUGACGCUGAGGCGACGAAAGGCGUGGGGAGCAAACAGG
rnacentral:rRNA from 1 species